rnacentral:rRNA from 1 species
CCAGACUCCUACGGGAGGCAGCAGUGGGGAAUAUUGCACAAUGGGCGGAAGCCUGAUGCAGCGACGCCGCGUGAAGGAUGAAGUCUUUCGGUAUGUAAACCCCUAUCAGCAGGGAAGAAAAUGACGGUACCUGACUAAGAAGCCCCGGCUAACUACGUGCCAGCAGCCGCGGUAAUACGUAGGGGGCAAGCGUUAUCCGGAUUUACUGGGUGUAAAGGGAGCGUAGACGGCGAUGCAGGCCAGAUGUGAAAGCCCGGGGCCCAACCCCGGGACUGCAGUUGGAACUGUGCGGCUUGAGUGUCGGAGAGGCAAGUGGAAUUCCUAGUGUAGCGGUGAAAUGCGUAGAUAUUAGGAGGAACACCAGUGGCGAAGGCGGCCUGCUGGACGAUGACUGACGUUGAGGCUCGAAAGCGGGGGGAGCAAACAGGAUUAGAUACCCCUGUAG